rnacentral:rRNA from 1 species
GUUCAAGGUUAUGAUAUAAUGUGCCCAGUGGGCCACUUUUGGUAUAGCAGAACUGGCGCUGUGGGAUGAACCAAACGUAAUGUUACGGUGCCCAAAUUAACAACUCAUGCAGAUACCAUGAAAGGCGUUGGUUGCUUAAAACAGCAGGACGGUGAUCAUGGAAGUCGAAAUCCGCUAAGGAGUGUGUAACAACUCACCUGCCGAAGCAACUAGCCCUUAAAAUGGAUGGCGCUUAAGUUGUAUACCUAUACAUUACCGCUAAAGUAGAUGAUUUAUAUUACUUGUGAUAUAAAUUUUGAAACUUUAGUGAGUAGGAAGGUACAAUGGUAUGCGUAGAAGUGUUUGGCGUAAGCCUGCAUGGAGCUGCCAUUGGUACAGAUCUUGGUGGUAGUAGCAAAUAAUCGAAUGAGACCUUGGAGGACUGAAGUGGAGAAGGGUUUCGUGUGAACAGUGGUUGAUCACGAGUUAGUCGGUCCUAAGUUCAAGGCGAAAGCCGAAAAUUUUCAAGUAAAACAAAAAUGCCUAACUAUAUAAACAAAGCGAAUAUAAUACACUUGAAUAAUUUUGAACGAAAGGGAAUACGGUUCCAAUUCCGUAACCUGUUGAGUAUCCGUUUGUUAUUAAAUAUGGGCCUCGUGCUCAUCCUGGCAACAGGAACGACCAUAAAGAAGCCGUCGAGAGAUAUCGGAAGAGUUUUCUUUUCUGUUUUAUAGCCGUACUACCAUGGAAGUCUUUCGCAGAGAGAUAUGGGUAGAUGGGCUAGAAGAGCAUGACAUAUACUGUUGUGUCGAUAUUUUCUCCUCGGACCUUGAAAAUUUAUGGUGGGGACACGCAAACUUCUCACAGGCCGUACCAAUAUCCGCAGCUGGUCUCCAAGGUGAAGAGUCUCUAGUCGAUAGAAUAAUGUAGGUAAGGGAAGUCGGCAAAUUAGAUCCGUAACUUCGGGAUAAGGAUUGGCUCUGAAGAUUGAGAUAGUCGGGCUUGAUUGGGAAACAAUAACAUGGUUUAUGUGCUCGUUCUGGGUAAAUAGAGUUUCUAGCAUUUAUGUUAGUUACUUGUUCCCCGGAUAGUUUAGUUACGUAGCCAAUUGUGGAACUUUCUUGCUAAAAUUUUUAAGAAUACUAUUUGGGUUAAACCAAUUAGUUCUUAUCAAUUAUAACGAUUAUCAAUUAACAAUCAAUUCAGAACUGGCACGGACUUGGGGAAUCCGACUGUCUAAUUAAAACAAAGCAUUGUGAUGGCCCUAGCGGGUGUUGACACAAUGUGAUUUCUGCCCAGUGCUCUGAAUGUCAAAGUGAAGAAAUUCAAGUAAGCGCGGGUCAACGGCGGGAGUAACUAUGACUCUCUUAAGGUAGCCAAAUGCCUCGUCAUCUAAUUAGUGACGCGCAUGAAUGGAUUAACGAGAUUCCUACUGUCCCUAUCUACUAUCUAGCGAAACCACAGCCAAGGGAACGGGCUUGGAAUAAUUAGCGGGGAAAGAAGACCCUUUUGAGCUUGACUCUAAUCUGGCAGUGUAAGGAGACAUAAGAGGUGUAGAAUAAGUGGGAGAUAUUAGACCUCGGUUUGGUAUCGUCAAUGAAAUACCACUACUCUUAUUGUUUCCUUACUUACUUGAUUAAAUGGAACGUGUAUCAUUUCCUAGCCAUUAUACGGAUAUAUUUAUUAUAUCUUAUGGUAUUGGGUUUUGAUGCAAGCUUCUUGAUCAAAGUAUCACGAGUUUGUUAUAUAAUCGCAAACAAAUUCUUUAAUAAAACGAUGCAUUUAUGUAUUUUUGAUUUGAAAAUUUGGUAUAACUCCAAUUACUCAGGUAUGAUCCAAUUCAAGGACAUUGCCAGGUAGGGAGUUUGACUGGGGCGGUACAUCUCUCAAAUAAUAACGGAGGUGUCCCAAGGCCAGCUCAGUGCGGACAGAAACCACACAUAGAGCAAAAGGGCAAAUGCUGACUUGAUCUCGGUGUUCAGUACACACAGGGACAGCAAAAGCUCGGCCUAUCGAUCCUUUUGGUUUAAAGAGUUUUUAACAAGAGGUGUCAGAAAAGUUACCAUAGGGAUAACUGGCUUGUGGCGGCCAAGCGUUCAUAGCGACGUCGCUUUUUGAUCCUUCGAUGUCGGCUCUUCCUAUCAUUGUGAAGCAAAAUUCACCAAGCGUUGGAUUGUUCACCCAUGCAAGGGAACGUGAGCUGGGUUUAGACCGUCGUGAGACAGGUUAGUUUUACCCUACUAAUGACAAAACGUUGUUGCGACAGCAUUCCUGCGUAGUACGAGAGGAACCGCAGGUACGGACCAAUGGCACAAUACUUGUUCGAGCGAACAGUGGUAUGACGCUACGUCCGUUGGAUUAUGCCUGAACGCCUCUAAGGUCGUAUCCG